ACGCUCGACACCUACGGGAGGAGCAGUCGGGAAUAUUGCGCAAUGGAGGAAACUCUGACGCAGUGACGCCGCGUAUGGGAAGAAGGUUUUCGGAUUGUAAACCAUUUUAGACAGGGAAGAAAAAAGACAGUACCUGUAGAAUAAGCUCCGGCUAACUACGUGCCAGCACGCCGGACGGUAAUCUGGAGGCGGGCGUGGACGAACGGC
rnacentral:rRNA from 1 species